AACGCGAAGAACCUUACCUGGGUUUGAACUACGGGUGACAGCCCCUGAAAGGGGGUUUCCUUCGGGUACCCGUAGAGGUGCUGCAUGGCUGUCGUCAGCUCGUGUCGUGAGAUGUUGGGUUAAGUCCCGCAACGAGCGCAACCCUUGCCCUUAGUUGCCAUCGGGUUAUGCCGGGAACUCUAGGGGGACUGCCCCGGAAAACGGGGAGGAAGGUGGGGAUGACGUCAAGUCCUCAUGGCCUUUAUGCCCAGGGCUACACACGUGCUACAAUGGGCGGUACAAAGGGUUGCGAUACCGCGAGGUGGAGCUAAUCCCAAAAAGCCGUCCUCAGUUCGGAUUGGAGUCUGCAACUCGACUCCAUGAAGGUGGAAUCGCUAGUAAUCGUGGAUCAGCAUGCCACGGUGAAUACGUUCCCGGGCCUUGUACACACCGCCCGUCACAUCACGAAAGUUGGUUGCACCUGAAAUGGCGAUGCCAACCCGCAAGGGAGGCUGGUUCUUACGGUGUGAUUGAUGAUUGGGGUGAAGUCGUAACAAGGUAACC
rnacentral:rRNA from 1 species